rnacentral:lncRNA from 1 species
CGACGACAACAAUAGAGGAAAGGAAAAAAAUUAAAAUCAAAGAGAAUGAGAGGAGGAGAGGAAUGGCUAGGGAAAUGAGGAGGAGGAUUAAAGGCUGAUUAUUAGUGAAAAAUUAAUAUUUAUACCUAGGUUAACUAGGCUUGGAUGGCCCACACAUUACAACAAGGGUUUUUUGUCAAAAAAUUAAAUUAUUUGCAUGGGAAGGGAAUUGAAGUUGGG